rnacentral:rRNA from 1 species
AUUGAACGCUGGCGGCAGGCCGAACACAUGCAAGUCGAGCGAGCGGCGGAGGGGGGAGUAAUGGCGGGGAAACUGCCUGGUGGAGGGGGAUAAGGACGGGAAACGGUAGCUAAUACCGCAUACCAUCAGAUGUGCCCAGAUGGGAUCAGCGAGUAGGUGAGGUAACGGCUCACCUAGGCGACGAUCCCUAGCUGGUCUGAGAGGAUGACCAGCCACACUGGAACUGAGACACGGUCCAGACUCCUACGGGAGGCACAAGUGGGGAAUAUUGCACAAUGGGCGCAAGCCUGAUGCAGCCAUGCCGCGUGUGUGAAGAAGGCCUUCGGGUUGUAAAGCACUUUCAGCGGGGAGGCGUUACCCGCAUAAGAAGCACCGGCUACCUCCGUGCCAGCAGCCGCGGUAAUUC